GGGAGUGGCAGGCGUUAUCCGGAAUUAUUGGGCGUAAAGCGUCCGCAGGCGGCCCUUCAAGUCUGCUGUUAAAAAGUGGAGCUUAACUCCAUCAUGGCAGUGGAAACUGUUGGGCUUGAGUGUGGUAGGGGCAGAGGGAAUUCCCGGUGUAGCGGUGAAAUGCGUAGAUAUCGGGAAGAACACCAGUGGCGAAGGCGCUCUGCUGGGCCAUCACUGACGCUCAUGGACGAAAGCCAGGGGAGCGAAAGGGAUUAGAUACCCCUGUAGUCCUGGCCGUAAACGAUGAACACUAGGUGUCGGGGGAAUCGACCCCCUCGGUGUCGUAGCCAACGCGUUAAGUGUUCCGCCUGGGGAGUACGCACGCAAGUGUGAAACUCAAAGGAAUUGACGGGGGCCCGCACAAGCGGUGGAGUAUGUGGUUUAAUUCGAUGCAACGCGAAGAACCUUACCAGGGUUUGACAUCCUGCGAAUCUCUUGGAAACAGGAGAGUGCCUUCGGGAACGCAGUGACAGGUGGUGCAUGGCUGUCGUCAGCUCGUGUCGUGAGAUGUUGGGUUAAGUCCCGCAACGAGCGCAACCCACGUCUUUAGUUGCCAGCAUUUAGUUGGGCACUCUAGAGAGACUGCCGGUGAUAAACCGGAGGAAGGUGUGGAUGACGUCAAGUCAUCAUGCCCCUUACAUCCUGGGCUACACACGUACUACAAUGCUACGGACAAAGGGCAGCAAGUUCGCGAGGACAAGCAAAUCCCAUAAACCGUGGCUCAGUUCAGAUCGUAGGCUGCAACUCGCCUACGUGAAGGCGGAAUCGCUAGUAAUCGCAGGUCAGCAUACUGCGGUGAAUACGUUCCCGGGCCUU
rnacentral:rRNA from 1 species